GUGGGGAAUAUUGGACAAUGGGCGCAAGCCUGAUCCAGCCAUGCCGCGUGAGUGAUGAAGGCCUUAGGGUUGUAAAGCUCUUUCGUCAGGGAAGAUAAUGACGGUACCUGAAGAAGAAGCCCCGGCUAACUUCGUGCCAGCAGCCGCGGUAAUACGAAGGGGGCUAGCGUUGCUCGGAAUCACUGGGCGUAAAGCGCACGUAGGCGGCUUUCUACGUCAGGGGUAGAAUCCUGGAGCUCAAUUCCAGAACUGCCUUUGAUACUGGAGAGCUUGAGUUCGGGGGAGGUGAGUGGAACUGCGAGUGUAGAGGUGAAAUUCGUAGAUAUUCGCAAGAACACCAGUGGCGAAGGCGGCUCACUGGCCCGAUACUGACGCUGAGGUGCGAAAGCGUGGGGAGCAAACAGGAUUAGAUACCCCGGUAGUCC
rnacentral:rRNA from 1 species